CCUACGGGUGGCAGCAGUGAGGAAUAUUGGUCAAUGGACGCAAGUCUGAACCAGCCAUGCCGCGUGCAGGAAGACGGCUCUAUGAGUUGUAAACUGCUUUUGUACGAGGGUAAACGCAGAUACGUGUAUCUGUCUGAAAGUAUCGUACGAAUAAGGAACGGCUAACUCCGUGCCAGCAGCCGCGGUAAUACGGAGGAUUCAAGCGUUAUCCGGAUUUAUUGGGUUUAAAGGGUGCGUAGGCGGUCGGAUAAGUUAGAGGUGAAAUCCCGAGGCUUAACUUCGGAAUUGCCUCUGAUACUGUUCGGCGAGAGUGUAGUAGCGGUAGGCGGAAUGUAUGGUGUAGCGGUGAAAUGCUUAGAGAUCAUACAGAACACCGAUUGCGAAGGCAGCUUACCAAGCUACUUCUGACGUUGAGGCACGAAAGCGUGGGGAGCAAACAGGAUUAGAUACCCGGGUAGUC
rnacentral:rRNA from 1 species